rnacentral:tRNA from 1 species
AGCAUGUUAGCUCAGGGGAAGAGCGCCGGGCUCAUAACCCGGAGGUACGUUUAACCGCCUACAUCAGACCAUUAAACAUAAUAACUAACAACCCGUUUAGGCCCCUAGAUCGAAACUAGGACAUGCUA